UAUAGUACCAAUGUUGGGCCUUGCCAGACGAGUUUUAUCCCAAAACAAAAAUCUAUGUGGUCCCCAUAACAACCCCAAGCAUGUUAGGAGCGCUCAUUUAUGGAACAUAACACCGGUAGCCGAAACUAAGGCGAAAAAGUGGAACAAAACACAAGGCUAGGAGGCCAAGCCUUCCACCUUUUACCAAGUAUAUAGGUGCAUUAAACUAAAUGGAAAUAAUAUGGUGAUAUAACAAGAAACCCCUGUUGGCACAUGGAAGCAACUGCACCUCCAACUAGCAAUGCUAACAAAAGGUUAGGCAAGCGGUAACAUAGCCAAAUAGUGGUUUGCUGUGUUGUGGAAAAGUUAGAGGUUUUCAUGGCAAUGUUGGGAGGCUUAUUUAACACGUGGUAGGCAGCAAGAC
rnacentral:lncRNA from 1 species